UACAGAGGUCUCAAGCGUUGUUCGGAUUCAUUGGGCGUAAAGGGUGCGUAGGUGGCGCCGUAAGUCAGGUGUGAAAUCUCGGGGCUCAACCCCGAAACUGCACUUGAUACUGCGGUGCUCGAGUACUGGAGAGGAGAUUGGAAUUUACGGUGUAGCAGUGAAAUGCGUAGAUAUCGUAAGGAAGACCAGUGGCGAAGGCGAAUCUCUGGACAGUUACUGACACUGAGGCA
rnacentral:rRNA from 1 species